UACGAAGGUCCCGAGCGUUGUUCGGAAUCACUGGGCGUAAAGGGAGCGUAGGCGGCGUGGUAAGUCAGAUGUGAAAUCCCGGGGCUCAACCCCGGAACUGCAUCCGAUACUGCCGUGCUUGAGGGUUGGAGAGGUAGCUGGAAUUAUCGGUGUAGCAGUGAAAUGCGUGGAUAUCGAUAGGAACACUCGUGGCGGAGGCGAGCUACUGGACAACAUCUGACGCUGAGGCUCGAAGGCUAGGGGAGCAAACGGG
rnacentral:rRNA from 1 species